UACGUAGGGUGCAAGCGUUGUCCGGAAUUAUUGGGCGUAAAGAGCUCGUAGGCGGUUUGUCGCGUCUGCUGUGAAAACUCGGGGCUUAACCCCGGGCCUGCAGUGGGUACGGGCAGACUAGAGUGCGGUAGGGGAGACUGGAAUUCCUGGUGUAGCGGUGAAAUGCGCAGAUAUCAGGAAGAACACCAAUGGCGAAGGCAGCUCUCUGGGACGGUACUGACGCUGAGACGCGAAAGCGUGGGGAGCGAACAGG
rnacentral:rRNA from 1 species